rfam:Hydrogenophaga sp. LPB0072, complete genome.
AGGCAGGAUAGGUGAAGUGGGCCCACCCGCGAGCGUGUGUUCCGACUUCACUCCCCUUAUUCGCGCUGCGCGCUCAACAGGUCUCCUGCUCUGCGAGGCU